GGGAUCUUAGCUCAGCUAGGAGAGCAUCUGCCUUACAAGCAGAGGGUCACAGGUUCGAGCCCUGUAGGUCCCA
rnacentral:tRNA from 1 species